rnacentral:rRNA from 1 species
GACGAACGCUGGCGGCGCGCCUAACACAUGCAAGUCGAACGAGCAAAGAGGAGCUUGCUUCUCUGAGCGAGUGGCGAACGGGUGAGUAACGCGUGAGGAACCUGCCUCAAAGAGGGGGACAACAGUUGGAAACGACUGCUAAUACCGCAUAAGCCCGCGGGUCGGCAUCGACCAGAGGGAAAAGGAGCAAUCCGCUUUGAGAUGGCCUCGCGUCCGAUUAGCUAGUUGGUGAGGUAACGGCCCACCAAGGCGACGAUCGGUAGCCGGACUGAGAGGUUGAACGGCCACAUUGGGACUGAGACACGGCCCAGACUCCUACGGGAGGCAGCAGUGGGGAAUAUUGCGCAAUGGGGGAAACCCUGAUGCAGCGACGCCGCGUGGAGGAAGAAGGUCUUCGGAUUGUAAACUCCUGUUGUUGAGGAAGAUAAUGACGGUACUCAACAAGGAAGUGACGGCUAACUACGUGCCAGCAGCCGCGGUAAAACGUAGGUCACAAGCGUUGUCCGGAAUUACUGGGUGUAAAGGGAGCGCAGGCGGGAAGACAAGUUGGAAGUGAAAUCCAUGGGCUCAACCCAUGAACUGCUUUCAAAACUGUUUUUCUUGAGUAGUGCAGAGGUAGGCGGAAUUCCCGGUGUAGCGGUGGAAUGCGUAGAUAUCGGGAGGAACACCAGUGGCGAAGGCGGCCUACUGGGCACCAACUGACGCUGAGGCUCGAAAGUGUGGGUAGCAAACAGGAUUAGAUACCCUGGUAGUCCACACCGUAAACGAUGAUUACUAGGUGUUGGAGGAUUGACCCCUUCAGUGCCGCAGUUAACACAAUAAGUAAUCCACCUGGGGAGUACGACCGCAAGGUUGAAACUCAAAGGAAUUGACGGGGGCCCGCACAAGCAGUGGAGUAUGUGGUUUAAUUCGACGCAACGCGAAGAACCUUACCAAGUCUUGACAUCCUGCGACGGACAUAGAAAUAUGUCUUUCCUUCGGGACGCAGAGACAGGUGGUGCAUGGUUGUCGUCAGCUCGUGUCGUGAGAUGUUGGGUUAAGUCCCGCAACGAGCGCAACCCUUAUGGUCAGUUACUACGCAAGAGGACUCUGGCCAGACUGCCGUUGACAAAACGGAGGAAGGUGGGGAUGACGUCAAAUCAUCAUGCCCUUUAUGACUUGGGCUACACACGUACUACAAUGGCGUUAAACAAAGAGAAGCAAGACCGCGAGGUGGAGCAAAACUCAGAAACAACGUCCCAGUUCGGACUGCAGGCUGCAACUCGCCUGCACGAAGUCGGAAUUGCUAGUAAUCGUGGAUCAGCAUGCCACGGUGAAUACGUUCCCGGGCCU